rnacentral:rRNA from 1 species
GAUGAACGCUGGCGGCGUGCCUAAUACAUGCAAGUCGAGCGAACAGACGAUGCGCUUGCUCCUCUGACGUUAGCCGCGGACGGGUGAGUAACACGUGGAUCCCCUCCCUAUCAGUCUGGUAUCACUUCGGGACACCGGCUCUUAUCCCGUAUAAUCUCUUGCACCGCAUGGUUCAUUAGUGAAUGUCGGUUUUUCUGUCUCUUCUCGAUGGUUCCCGGCCGCAUUAGCUAGUUGGUACGGUAACGGCUUACCACGGCAACGAUGCGUAGCCGACCUGAGAGGGGGAUCGGCCACGCUGGAACUGAGACACGGUCCAGAGUACUACGGGAGGCAGCAGUAGGGAAUCGGCCGCAAAGGGCGAAAGCUUAACGGAGCAACGCCGCGUGAGAGAUGAAGGUCUUCGGAGCGUAAAAAUCGGUUAUUAGGGAAGAACAAAUGUGUAAGGAGAUAUGCACGUCUUGACGGUACCGAAUCAGAAAGCAACGGCUAACUACGUG